rnacentral:snoRNA from 1 species
AAAGAUAUUGAAGUGAAUGUGUUUCUGCAGACACUUAGAAACAGCUGGCAAUAGUGAUGCCAUUUUAUGAGCCUGAAGAACAACUGAAGCCAUUACUGUCCCUCAAACUGGCUACAAUA